CUACGGGGUGCAGCAGUGGGGAAUAUUGCACAAUGGGCGCAAGCCUGAUGCAGCCAUGCCGCGUGUAUGAAGAAGGCCUUCGGGUUGUAAAGUACUUUCAGCGGGGAGGAAGGGAGUAAAGUUAAUACCUUUGCUCAUUGACGUUACCCGCAGAAGAAGCACCGGCUAACUCCGUGCCAGCAGCCGCGGUAAUACGGAGGGUACAAGCGUUGAUCGGAAUUACUGGGCGUAAAGCGCACGCAGGCGGUUUGUUAAGUCAGAUGUGAAAUCCCCGGGCUCAACCUGGGAACUGCAUCUGAUACUGGCAAGCUUGAGUCUCGUAGAGGGGGGUAGAAUUCCAGGUGUAGCGGUGAAAUGCGUAGAGAUCUGGAGGAAUACCGGUGGCGAAGGCGGCCCCCUGGACGAAGAUUGACGCUCAGGUGCGGAAGCGUGGGGAGCAUACAGGAUUAGAUACCCUUGUAGUC
rnacentral:rRNA from 1 species